rnacentral:rRNA from 1 species
AUUCCAGCUCCAAUAGCGUAUAUUAAAGUUGUUGCGGUUAAAAAGCUCGUAGUUGGAGUUCUGCCAGGUGGCGCUCGUCCGCCCAAGUGGUGUGUACAGGGCGUGCAUCUGGCCCUUUCAAGGGGAACGUGUCUGCACUUCAUUGUGUGGUGCGAGAUCCUUGACUUUUACUUUGAGGAAAUAAGAGUGUUCCAAGCAGGCUCUCGUCGUGCAUAGCUCAGCAUGGAAUAAUAGCAUUGGACUUCGUUUCUACGCUGUUGGUUGCAAGAAGCGAGGUAAUGAUGAAGAGAGACGGACGAGGGCAUUCGUAUUACGGCGCUAGAGGUGAAAUUCUUGGAUCGCCGUAAGACGAACUACCGCGAAAGCAUUUGCCAAGAAUGUUUUCAUUG